GACGAACGCUGGCGGCGUGCCUAAUACAUGCAAGUCGAACGCUUUUUCUUUCACCGGAGCUUGCUCCAUCGAAAGAAAAAGAGUGGCGAACGGGUGAGUAACACGUGGGUAACCUGCCCAUCAGAAGGGGAUAACACUUGGAAACAGGUGCUAAUACCGUAUAACACUAUUUUCCGCAUGGAAGAAAGUUGAAAGGCGCUUUUGCGUCAAUGAUGGAUGGACCCGCGGUGCAUUAGCUAGUUGGUGAGGUAACGGCUCACCAAGGCAACGAUGCAUAGCCGACCUGAGAGGGUGAUCGGCCACACUGGGACUGAGACACGGCCCAGACUCCUACGGGAGGCAGCAGUAGGGAAUCUUCGGCAAUGGACGAAAGUCUGACCGAGCAACGCCGCGUGAGUGAAGAAGGUUUUCGGAUCGUAAAACUCUGUUGUUAGAGAAGAACAAGGAUGAGAGUAAAAUGUUCAUCCCUUGACGGUAUCUAACCAGAAAGCCACGGCUAACUACGUGCCAGCAGCCGCAGUAA
rnacentral:rRNA from 1 species